CAAACUAAUAACUUAAUGAAUAAUGAGUUAUAGGAGGUUUUAAUAAAUUUCUAAUUUGUAAUAGAUCUUCAAGGAGUUUUUUAAGGUUGUAGAAUUUAAAAUAAGUAAUUCCAAGAAUUGACUGUUCAAUGCUCAUUGUUGCAAUGAUAUUAGUAAGGUAUAAAUAUAAAUAUUCUUACUUCCUGGCCGUAUAAUUGUUGCAACUUUUUUUUCAAUCAUGAUGCAAUGAUGCUAAUUUUGCUUGCAGUUCCUGGAAAGUACAUAAUAAUAGAUGUGACAGAUUUGUAUUUUACUUUUAACGGAUAUUUUCGCUGAUUGUGAUUUUUUAUAUUAUUUUACAAGAGUGAAAGUAAAUCAAAGAAAAAGUUGGGGAAUCACGGUGAAGAAAAAACAGGAGAGUGUUUUUUCUUCUCGCUUGUCCUUCUAACAUUACUUACUUAAGAGGGUAAAAGCUUGGCUUGUAUAUUCAGUACACAAUCGAAAAGUGUUGAAUACAUUUGUGAUUAUCUAAAAAGAUUUGUCUCAUUGGACAUCCAACCAGCGCUCACUCAAACAUGAUACAACAAGAAGAGCACAACAUGGAAAGCCUCGUUGAGAAAACGACAGUGUGUUUCAGGUCUCUGGAUCUCAUCUCUACAAAGGAACAGCUGGUCUGUGAAGAUCCGGAAGAAGGGAAUAAGGAAAAACAAGUAUUUAUUCGUCAAAUUGUUCAGCUUAAGGCAGAACUCCAAGACAUAAAAGAUUAUCUCUUUCCUUGGCGGGGUCUCGCCUCACUCCAAGGCAACUGAAUCUCCUUUCUUUCCAUGAAUCAUUUCAAGACCCACCAUUGAUCCUUUGACUGCGAACAAAUCUUUGGUAAGUGCUUCACAUUUCGAUGAGUAUCAAGAUAUUUUCCCAAGGAUACCUUCACCUUAGAAUAGAUACUCAGCUCGACAUUUCACUAUUGAAUAGUAUUCUAUUGGACCUCUCCCGUCUGGAGAUGGAUAUAACAUCCCAUGCGGAAGCUGUUCUCAAUGGUCGACUUUCCAAAUCACAGCUUCGACUCAUUAAAGAGGAACAAACCCGUCUCAGAACCAUGUUCCCUCCUGCAUCAGUUACUCUUCCUCAGAAUUGGAGCAGUGUGUCAAAGUCUAAAAGUUUCCGAGAGAUAAGUGGAAAAAAGCGAGUCACAAGCAAAUACAGAAAGAACAAAACCUCCGAAUUUUAUGACCAUGGACAUCCUUGCUCUAGCGACCUUGGAACAAGAAGUGCGGAAGAGGGAUCUCAGACGACUUUGGCAAUGAGCAGAGAUGAAGAUAUGGAGAAACCGGUUUUCAUUCGGAGGAAGUCCUCUUUUAUGCAAAAUGUUUCAAAUUUAUUGAAAAACAUUCGAUGACUCGAGGAGAUCCAUCCUCGUUUCCCAAUGGGCAGCGAUAUACUCACUCCUCACACACAACAAAUUCAUACUGUAUCCACAAAUUAUUUAAAUUACUCACUAUUGGACAUUGUUUUGCAAUAUCAAUGAAACUUUAACCCAUAUUUUAUACGUGUUCAAAUAUACAUAUUAUUUAUA
rnacentral:lncRNA from 1 species